AGUGGGAUCUAGACCUAAGUUACAAAAUCUUCACCUUCACAGAUCAGCACUCAGGACAGACCUGACACUAUGAAGUUGUUGCUAAACUGGGUUUUUCUAGUAACACUUUUAAAUGGUAUUCAGUGUGAGGUGAAGCUGGUAGAAUAUGGAGGAGGUUUGGUGCAGCCUGGGGCUUCUCUCAGACUCUCCUGCGAAGCUUCUGGAUUCACCUUCAGUGAUUUCUACAUGGAGUGGAUCCGACAGGCUCCAGGGAAAGGACUGGAGUGGAUUGCAGCAAGUAGAAACAAAGCUAAUGAUUAUUCAACAGUGUACAGUGCAUCUGUGAAGGACCGAUUCACCAUCUCAAGGGAUACUUACAAAAGCAUCCUCUAUCUUCAGAUGAACACACUCAAACCUGAGGAUACUGCCAUUUAUUACUGUGCAAGAGAUUCACACAGUGAGGAGACUUCAGUGUUAGCCCUGACAAAAACUUGCUUACAAGAUUUCUCAGUAUCAGCAGGGGGCGCACAUGACCAGAGAAAAAGACUGCAUUAUUUCUCCAGAGGUGCCCAAGCACAGAUCCAGUUGUUACAGUCUGGACCUGAGCUGAAGAAGUCUGGGGAGUCAGUGAAGAUCUCCUGCAAGGCUUCUGGGUAUACCUUCACAGACAGUGGAAUGCACUGUGUGAAACAUGCUCCAGGAAACAGCUUAAUGUGGAUGGUCUUGAUCAACACCCAAACUGAGAAGCCAAAACAGGCUGAUGAUUUCACAGGGAGAUUUGUCUUCUCUUUGGAAACUUCUGCCAGCACUGCAUAG